AACGAACGCUGGCGGCAUGCCUAACACAUGCAAGUCGAACGAGACCUUCGGGUCUAGUGGCGCACGGGUGCGUAACGCGUGGGAACCUGCCCUUAGGUUCGGAAUACCUCCCCGACAGGGGUGCUAAUACCGGAUAAUGUCUUCGGACCAAAGAUUUAUCGCCGUUGGAUGGGCCCGCGUUGGAUUAGCUAGUUGGUAGGGUAAAAGCCUACCAAGGCGACGAUCCAUAGCUGGUCUGAGAGGAUGAUCAGCCACACUGGGACUGAGACACGGCCCAGACUCCUACGGGAGGCAGCAGUGGUGAAUAGUGGACAAUGGGCGAAGGCCUGAUCCAGCAAUGCCGCGUGAGUGAUGAAGGCCUUAGGGUUGUAAAGCUCUUUUACCCGGGAUGAUAAUGACAGUACCGGGAGAAUAAGCUCCGGCUAACUCCGUG
rnacentral:rRNA from 1 species